UGACUCUUCUUAAAACUAAAAGCUUAGAAUUCAGUUGAAACUGUAAUUUUCCAAGAAGAAUAUAAAGAGAAUGAAAUAAUAGAAUAACUGACAAACAGUGCUGCCCGAUGUGAUACGUCUUGUCUGUGUGCCCACAAACUCUCUCACAUACCCAUGAAUAUGAAGACACAUAAAUAUAUGUACAUACAUAUGUAUGCAUGCUCGUGAUGAUACUCCCAACGACAGCAAUGUGAUAUUUUCAUGCUUCAAUUUUUGCUUUCAACCAGACAAUCGCUUGUAUGUGCAAUAAAUGGAAUUUAUCACAACAAUAUAUAAACAAGUACAUCGUCUAUCAUAUUAAUCUUAUCAUCUGUUCAUAUAAAUGGCACGAUUCCGAUUACUUUGGCGGCGGGGUAAAAAAAACGAAUUUCCAUAUAAAUGGGGUAUGUGCGGAUAGGGUAGCUUCUCCAGAGGAGGAAUAUCCAAAAAUAAUGUAAAAAUAAUUAAUAUUUUUUGAAAUAUUCACGUUUAAAAAUUCAAAAAUUUGCACUAAGAAAACAUGUUAUUUCUCUAUGUUUCUCUAAAUUUUUUCACAUUUUUCUCUUGUUAUAUUUAAAUAUACACUUUAAAGAUUGAAAUAAGUUCA